GAUGAACGCUGGCGGCGUGCCUAAUACAUGCAAGUCGAGCGAACGGACGAGAAGCUUGCUUCUCUGAUGUUAGCGGCGGACGGGUGAGUAACACGUGGAUAACCUACCUAUAAGACUGGGAUAACUUCGGGAAACCGGAGCUAAUACCGGAUAAUAUUUUGAACCGCAUGGUUCAAAAGUGAAAGACGGUCUUGCUGUCACUUAUAGAUGGAUCCGCGCUGCAUUAGCUAGUUGGUAAGAUAACGGCUUACCAAGGCAACGAUGCAUAGCCGACCUGAGAGGGUGAUCGGCCACACUGGAACUGAGGCACGGUCCAGACUCCUACGGGAGGCAGCAGUAGGGAAUCUUCCGCAAUGGGCGAAAGCCUGACGGAGCAACGCCGCGUGAGUGAUGAAGGUCUUCGGAUCGUAAAACUCUGUUAUUAGGGAAGAACAUAUGUGUAAGUAACUGUGCACAUCUUGACGGUACCUAAUCAGAAAGCCACGGCUAACUACGUG
rnacentral:rRNA from 1 species